rnacentral:rRNA from 1 species
UACGGAGGGUGCAAGCGUUAAUCGGAAUUACUGGGCGUAAAGGGUGCGUAGGUGGUUCGUUAAGUCUGAUGUGAAAGCCCUGGGCUCAACCUGGGAAUGGCAUUGGAUACUGGCGACCUAGAGUGCGGUAGAGGGGUGUGGAAUUCCCGGUGUAGCAGUGAAAUGCGUAGAUAUCGGGAGGAACAUCUGUGGCGAAGGCGACACCCUGGACCAGCACUGACACUGAGGCACGAAAGCGUGGGGAGCAAACAGG